AGCAGCCGCGGUAAUUCCAGCUCCAAUAGCGUAUAUUAAAGUUGUUGCAGUUAAAAAGCUCGUAGUUGGAUUUCGGGAUCAAUACGUCGGUCGUGCUUCGGUACGUACUAACGUCAUUGAUUUCUCCCUUCUGACGAAUCGUGAUGUCAUUAAUUUGGUGUUACGGGGAGUUAGGACUGUUACUUUGAAAAAAUUAGAGUGUUUAAAGCAAGCAAUCGCUCGAAUACAUUAGCAUGGAAUAAUGAAAUAGGACGUUCGAACCUAUUUUGUUGGUUUCUAGGAUCGACGUAAUGAUUAAUAGGGAUAGUUGGGGGCAUUAGUAUUCAAUUGUCAGAGGUGAAAUUCUUGGAUUUAUUGAAGACUAACUACUGCGAAAGCAUUUGCCAAGGAUGUUUUCAUUAAUCAAGAACGAGAGUUAGGGGAUCGAAGACGAUCAGAUACCGUCGUAGU
rnacentral:rRNA from 1 species